GCUAGCUUCCACAGAACACACUACAAUUAGAACAAUACAGAGAAGCUCGGCAUGGCCCCCAUGCAAGGGUGACAAGCCCAAGAACGGUUCCAUACGUUU
ensembl:snRNA U6 U6 spliceosomal RNA